rnacentral:rRNA from 1 species
AUUGAACGCUGGCGGCAUGCCUUACACAUGCAAGUCGAACGGCAGCACGGGAGCAAUCCUGGUGGCGAGUGGCGAACGGGUGAGUAAUAUAUCGGAACGUGCCCAGUCGUGGGGGAUAACGCAGCGAAAGCUGUGCUAAUACCGCAUACGAUCUACGGAUGAAGGCGGGGGAUCGCAAGACCUCGCGCGAUUGGAGCGGCCGAUAUCAGAUUAGCUAGUUGGUGAGGUAAAGGCUCACCAAGGCGACGAUCUGUAGCUGGUCUGAGAGGACGGCCAGCCACACUGGAACUGAGACACGGUCCAGACUCCUACGGGAGGCAGCAGUGGGGAAUUUUGGACAAUGGGCGAAAGCCUGAUCCAGAAAUGCCGCGUGCAGGAUGAAGGCCUUCGGGUUGUAAACUGCUUUUGUACGGAACGAAACGGUGAGCUCUAAUACAGUUUGCUAAUGACGGUACCGUAAGAAUAAGCACCGGCUAACUACGUGCCAGCCGCCGCGGUAACAC